GCUCUCCGAGGCCGCCCCACCCCUUCUCCGGCCCCGCCUGAGCCCACUUCACACCCAAGAAGGGGCUGAGCGUGCGGGUUCGCCUUUUAACCCAGAGGCUCGGACAGCCCACAGUCGCCUGCUCCAUGUCCAGAUCUGCGCUGUCAUCUCGGUCCUAGGGCUCCCUCCCAGGUCCUGGCGGAAGUGCCAAGAGCAGCUCCGGCCGGCUGUGCGCCCAGCGUCAUCACAAAACCCUACGUGUGCGGCAGGUCCCUGAGUUCUGUGGAAACCUGCGCCCUGGGCUCAGGGCAGAGCAGGCCAAGCCCCAGAGAGCGUGGAGGUGGGGACAGAUGGCCCUGGCUGCUGGUCUCAUCGCCUUGAGCUCUGCAUUCCCUCUGAGAAACAGGAAUUGUCCUUCCUAGAAAGAUGUGGGGAUUUAUUGAGAUGACAUGUGUCAAAGGGCUGGGCAUUCA